rnacentral:tRNA from 1 species
GCCGACUUAGCUCAAUAGGUAGAGCAACUGACUUGUAAUCAGUAGGUUGAGGGUUCAAUUCCUUUAGUCGGCA